rnacentral:rRNA from 1 species
GACGAACGCUGGCGGCGUGCUUAACACAUGCAGGUCGAACGGAAAGGCCCUGCUUUUGUGGGGUGCUCGAGUGGCGAACGGGUGAGUAACACGUGAGUAACCUGCCCUUGACUUUGGGAUAACUUCAGGAAACUGGGGCUAAUACCGGAUAGGAGCUCCUGCUGCAUGGUGGGGGUUGGAAAGUUUCGGCGGUUGGGGAUGGACUCGCGGCUUAUCAGCUUGUUGGUGGGGUAGUGGCUUACCAAGGCUUUGACGGGUAGCCGGCCUGAGAGGGUGACCGGCCACAUUGGGACUGAGAUACGGCCCAGACUCCUACGGGAGGCAGCAGUGGGGAACAUUGCACAAUGGGCGGAAGCCUGAUGCAGCAACGCCGCGUGCGGGAUGACGGCCUUCGGGUUGUAAACCGCUUUCGCCUGUGACGAAGCGUGAGUGACGGUAAUGGGUAAAGAAGCACCGGCUAACUACGUG